rnacentral:misc_RNA from 1 species
GGAAGUAAAAGUACAAGGUUUCCGUAGGUGAACCUGCGGAAGGAUCAUUAUUGUAUAACCGAGGUGCGAGGGCUGUCGCUGACCCGAAAGGUCGUGCACGCCCGAGUGCCCUCACACACAUCCAUCUCACCCCUAUGUGCACCACCGCGUGGGUCCCCCUUUGGCUUGUUCGGAGGGGGGCUUACGUUUUCACACAAACUUUGUAUGCAGUGUAGAAUGUAUUUUUUGUUUUUGCGAUCACGCAAUCAAUACAACUUUCAACAACGGAUCUCUUGGCUCUC